rnacentral:tRNA from 1 species
GGGGUUUUGGCUCAGUGGUAGAGCACUUGCCUAGCAAGCGCAAGGCCCUGGGUUCGGUCCCCAGCUCCG